rnacentral:rRNA from 1 species
AGUGAACGCUGGCGGCGUGCUUAACACAUGCAAGUCGAACGAGAACGGGUUAUAGCUUGCUAUAAUUGUCAGCUAAGUGGCGCACGGGUGAGUAAUGUAUAGGUAAUAUGCCUCUUACUAAGGGAUAACAAAUGGAAACGUUUGCUAAUACCUUAUACUCCUUAUUAACAGAAGUUAAUAAGGGAAAGAUUUAUUGGUAAGAGAUUAGCCUGUAUUGUAUCAGUUAGUUGGUGGGGUAAUGGCUUAUCAAGACUAUGACACAUAACUGGGUUGAGAGGAUGAUCAGUCACACUGGAACUGGGACGCGGUCCGGGGUCCUACGGGAGGCAGCAGUGGGGAAUAUUGCACAAUGGACGAAAGUCUGAGGCAGCAACGCCGCGUGGAGGAUGACACAUUUCGGUGCGUAAACUCCUUUUAUAUGAGAAGAUAAUGACGGUAUUAUAUGAAUAAGCACCGGCUAACUCCGUGCCAGCCGCCGCCGUAACAC